GCCUGAUGCAGCGACGCCGCGUGGGGGAUGACGGCCUUCGGGUUGUAAACCUCUUUCAGUACCGACGAAGCGAGAGUGACGGUAGGUACAGAAGAAGCACCGGCCAACUACGUGCCAGCAGCCGCGGUAGUACGUAGGGUGCGAGCGUUGUCCGGAAUUACUGGGCGUAAAGGGCUUGUAGGUGGAUUGUCGCGUUGUCCGUGAAAACUCACAGCUUAACUGUGGGCGUGCGGGCGAUACGGGCAGACUGGAGUACUGCAGGGGAGACUGGAAUUCCUGGUGUAGCGGUGGAAUGCGCAGAUAUCAGGAGGAACACCGGUGGCGAAGGCGGGUCUCUGGGCANUAACUGACGCUGAGGAGCGAAAGCGUGGGGAGCGAACAGGAUUAGAUACCCUGGUAGUCCACGCCGUAAACGGUGGGUACUAGGUGUGGGUUUCCUUCCUUGGGAUCCGUGCCGUANCUAACGCAUUAAGUGCCCCGCCUGGGAAGUACGGCCGCAAGG
rnacentral:rRNA from 1 species